rnacentral:lncRNA from 1 species
CCCCGCGUGUGCCGGGGCGGCCUUUUUGCCUUCCUGCCGCUCUCUUGGGCUCGGAGUCGAGGGUGGGCCCGGUUCUGACCGUCCUCGGAGCCGUCUGACCUUCUCUAGCGGACCUCGGUCCCCUCGAGAGGGGGGGAGGGUGUGGUGCCGUGCCGCUUUGCUUCCGGGGUUUCCCCAGCCCCCGGCCCCGCGGGGGGGGGGGGGCCCGCCGGGCGGUUUUCCGCGACGGCCGCGGGAGAGUCGCGGCGGCGUGUGUGUGCGCCCGCGACACCCGCGGCCGGUUCCUUGACGAGCGGGGGUCGGGGGGUGGUCGUUGCGGUGUGUCGAGGCGGAGGGGGAGGGUCUCCUUCCCCCGCCACCUCGCGCGCCUCCGCUUCCCCCUGCCCUGCGCCCGAUUGCGGCUCGUCCGCCCGCGCCGCCUCCCGCGUCGGGGGGUUGGCUUCGGCCACGUGAGGGUGCGGGAGCCGCCCGGAGGGAAACCAGGCUCUAACGCGAGCGAGGGAGAGCCGCGGCUUGGGAGGGGCUCGGCGAGCGGCAGCCGGCCCCCCUGCAACCCUGCCUUAGCCCCUCUCCGGAAGAGACUCCAGCGGGGCGUCGGUUUCGGUCCAGUGUUUGCGCGCGCCCCUGGGUCUCGGGCGCCGAGGGCGGCGCCGCCGGGUCGCGUGCCUCGUGCCGCGGCCCCGGGGCGGUGUCGUUCCCCGGUCCCGGGCUCGAGGCGCCCGGCCCCGCCGGUACCCCGGCGGCGUCCCGGACGCCGUCGGCGGCCCGUGCGCAUGCCGAGUCCCCCCGCGGCGGGGGGUUUUCGAGCGAGAGAGGAAUGCUGCUCGAAGUGCUUGACCACGAUCCCGCCGCCCCGGCGCGGUCUGUCGCCGGGCC